rnacentral:lncRNA from 1 species
AAACAGCAAUAAUGUACAGCAAAGUGAGAACUAAAAAUAAGUCAGGAUGACCAAAAUAGUCAAUUGACCCCCUAAGGAGUUAUUGCCCUUCAUAGUCAAUUUUUAACAAUUUUCUUAAAAUUUGAAGAUUUUCAAAAACAUUUUCCACAGAAAGUACUGUUAUAGAUAGAGAUAAUUGUAAGCAGCAAGAAUGUUUAGUAAAGUAAGAUCUACAAACACAUCACCAUCACCAAAACACAAUUUUGUCAUGAAUCCAUCUGUGUCCAUUGUUUAAUAUUCACAUAGACCAAGGUGAGCGACACAGGCUCUUUAGAGCCUCUAGUUACAUCCAGUUGCAAAUUAAAUGUGGUAACCCAGGAGGAGAACAAUGCGUGAUAUAAUAUGAACCCUGCUUUGUACUAGACCCAAUCACUGAAAUUUAACAUGCUAAUUCACAAAGUAACAGUCCGCAGGAAAACAUGCUAGUUCCUACCCAAAUACGUUAUUCUGACAAACAGCACAUUUUUUUAUGCCCCACCUAUGAUAGUAGAGGGGCAUUAUGUUUUCUGGUCUGUGCCUCCGUCCAUCCGUCCGUGCGUUCGUCAUUGUGUCCGUUCGCUUCAGGUUAAAUUUUUUGGUCAAGGUAGUUUUUGAAGAAGUUGAAGUCCAAUCAACUUGAAACUUAGUACACAUGUUCCCCAUGAUAUGAUCUUUCUAAUUUUAAUGCCAAAUUAUAGUUUUGACCCCAAUUUCAUGGUCCACUGAACAUAGAAAAUGAUAGUGCGAAGUUCAGAUUAAAGUUUUUGGUCAAGGUAGUUUUUGAUGAAGUUAAAGUUACUUCAACUUGAAACUUAGUACACAUGUUCCCUAUGAUAUGAUCUUUCUAAUUAUUAUUCCAAAUUAAGGUUUUUACCCCAAUUUCACGG